rnacentral:rRNA from 1 species
GACGAACGCUGGCGGCGUGCUUAACACAUGCAAGUCGAACGGAAAGGCCCUGCUUUUGUGGGGUGCUCGAGUGGCGAACGGGUGAGUAACACGUGAGUAACCUGCCCUUGACUUUGGGAUAACUUCAGGAAACUGGGGCUAAUACCGGAUAGGAGCUCCUGCUGCAUGGUGGGGGUUGGAAAGUUUCGGCGGUUGGGGAUGGACUCGCGGCUUAUCAGCUUGUUGGUGGGGUAGUGGCUUACCAAGGCUUUGACGGGUAGCCGGCCUGAGAGGGGGACCGGCCAAAUUGGGACUGAGAUACGGCCCAGACUCCUACGGGAGGCAGCAGUGGGGAAGAGUGCACAAUGGGCGGAAGCCUGAUGCAGCAACGCCGCGUGCGGGAUGACGGGCUUCGGGUUGUAAACCGCUUUCGCCUGUGACGAAGCGUGAGUGACGGUAAUGGGUAAAGAAGCACCGGCUAACUACGUG